rnacentral:rRNA from 1 species
AGAGUUUGAUCAUGGCUCAGGAUGAACGCUGGCGGCGUGCCUAACACAUGCAAGUCGAACGGAGUUCUUAAGGAAUGCGACUUCGGUCAAAUGACUUUUGAACUUAGUGGCGGACGGGUGAGUAACGCGUGAGCAACCUGCCUUUCAGAGGGGGAUAACAUUUGGAAACAGAUGCUAAUACCGCAUAAGAUUACAGUACCGCAUGAUACAGUGAUCAAAGGAGCAAUCCGCUGAAAGAUGGGCUCGCGUCCGAUUAGAUAGUUGGUGAGGUAACGGCUCACCAAGUCGACGAUCGGUAGCCGGACUGGAGAGGUUNAACGGCCACAGUUGGGACUGAGACACGGCCCAGACUCCGUACGGGAGCA